rnacentral:rRNA from 1 species
UACGUAGGGUCCGAGCGUUGUCCGGAAUUAUUGGGCGUAAAGGGCUCGUAGGCGGUUUGUCACGUCGGGAGUGAAAACUCAGGGCUCAACCCUGAGCGUGCUUCCGAUACGGGCAGACUAGAGGUAUGCAGGGGAGAACGGAAUUCCUGGUGUAGCGGUGGAAUGCGCAGAUAUCAGGAGGAACACCGGUGGCGAAGGCGGGUCUCUGGGCCGUAACUGACGCUGAGGAGCGAAAGCAUGGGGAGCGAACAGG